rnacentral:lncRNA from 1 species
UCGUUUUUCUCAAUUUUUCCUGGCGGUGGCACUUGAUUGCAGCUCCCCAAGGAGAUCCUGGGGGACGACAAGCCGAAGGACCUGGGAUGCACGUAAUUUAUUGGUUCCUUUCUGGUGUGACUUGUUCUUCUGGUUUGUUGAUUCAAAAUGGGUUGUUUGGUUUUGGAGGAUGGAGGGAUUGAGAGGAAGAUCGCCGAGGUGGAGAUGGACAUUGCCAAGGCGAAGAGCGAGGGGUAUUGUGGGGGAAUGAGGCUGGUGCUGGUACCGGUACCAAGGGUUCCGACAGAAAGAAGUUCGUUGCCCUCAUUUGAGUUUACACUAGCUUUGGCUCACAUAAAAAACACCACCCGAGCACCUCUCGGUGUGCCGUCAUGUUUACAUCUUGAAUAUUUUUCUUGAUUAAGUAAAAAAACUGGUUUAACUCAUUCUUUGUGUUGACAUACACUCACAGUAAGGAUUGAACUCGCGAUGGUAAUGAUGAGUCUGCAAGGUCAAGGUCAUAUGGUCUAAUUACCAAAUCACAGAAAGGAGAGGAGGAAGCUGAGCUCCGCCCUUUUUUCUGUCCAGGAGAGAAGGUUAUUUUUUUUAUUGAAACCUGCACCUUGUAUUGGGUCUGGAGGAAAUUUUUCUCUGUGUCUAUAGUUGUUGUAUCUUAGUACUCCGUAGUGUACUGCCUGUACCAUGGCAUACCAAUUGUUCGGACAGAUCAAAAGGCAUAUAAAUGCUAUUGUACUUCCACAUCUCACAUCUCAUUUACUACCUUGUAUCAGCAUUACUUGAAACACAUUUAUGCAGUCACGCAUCUCACCUUGAUUUUUUUUCUUCUGAAUUUUGCUUGUAUUGGAACUAUAUACAUUUGCACUGUCUAGUUAUGCUCGCUGGUUGAAUUUUCAGCAUUUGAAUCCGCCUCAAAGGAGAAACAAGGCAUUAGCUAGUACCAUAAAUGACAAGAUAGCUUGGCCAUGACUCUAUCAACUUGCCUAGGUCCAAGUCCAACACUCACAAGCUUCUUCAUCUGUAACAAACAUCAAUCUUGGGAGCGUUAGUUGAAGAGCCGGU